GGAAAAAAAAAAGGAAAGUAAAAAAUCCCAAGUUUCAUAGAAUAACAAAAAGAAAAUCAAUUCUACUGUAAAGUGUAAAAGAUAUGCAACCCUUUUUCUUUUUCCAAAGAUUAUUUUGUCCCUUCAUUUUCUUAUCAAUUCGUUUCUUUUAUAUAUAUUCUUUUUUUCUCCUCCUCUUCUACUACUAUUUUUUUUCUGUGUCCAAACAAAAUAAGUUCAGUAAGCAAUAAUAAAGCUUGUUAUGGCUCCAUGUACAAGUUUCUUGCCUCUAUUAAUGGAAAUAUGAAAGGUACUCCUCAUUUCUCGUUUUACCCUUCCUUCUUCAUUCACUAAAUUUUUUAUAUAUGUUAUGUGUAUUUUCAAUAUGUAAUACAGAUACAACAAUAUAUCCAAUAUAUUUUUAUAAGUGAGGUUUGAGGAAAAUAGUACUUACGUAAACCUUACCUCUAUAUUGUGAAUGUAGAACAGUGGCGAAGUUAAGAAGUUUUCAAGGAUGUCCAAAUUUAAAAGAAGUGAAAAAACUUCCGACAAAGAGUGUUCAAUAUGUGUUAUAGACCUUUAAAACGUAAUAUUUUACCUAUACAUAGUAUAAUUUUUCGAUGAAGGGUAGUGAAUUGUCCUUCGCCACUGAAAUAGAGAGACUAUUUCCAAUAGAUAGAAAAAAACAUAAAUAUGUAACAUAGAUAUAUAUAUGUGAAAUUUAUUAAUAUUUCCACAAAUAUAAUUAUGUUGUAGAUGGCAGUUAUAAAUGCAGAAAAGUAGGGUUUGAUCUGUGAAAAAUCUGUUGGGAAAAGGAUUGAUAUCUGUGUAUAUUACUUAUUUGGUUCUUUUGUUUUGGUUAUAUAUAUAUAUAUAUUCAGUCUCAGAUCUCCAUUAGUGUCUAUUUUUUGGUUUGUCCAUUCUAUAGGUUUUUUUUGCUUUAUAUACUCUUUGAGCUUCUAUCGUUUUCUUGAGUUCUACUUUGGUAUAUGAGACUUGAUAGUAUUAAACUAGCAAUCAAUUACAACAUCAUGCUCUUAUUUCUAACUUCUAAGGUAGCAUUUUUUUAAUGAGAAUUGGUAGUAUUGAUCUUGAUUUUUUAAUAUUUUUUAAGUAUUUUAAAUUUUAAUUAUUGUAAUUUAAAGUAAUUCUAAUAUAGUUUUUAAGUAUAUAAAUUUUAUUUUAAAAACUUAAAGACUUUAUAUCCAAAUUCGCGGUCAAAAAAUAACAUGUCUAGCAGUUAAAAUCCGAAAGAACUACUAUUUUUAUCAGAUAUUUAUAAUGAAGGCCUAUCAUAACUAAAAUCCCGCUAGAGAUGGAGUUAGAAUUUAAAGCUUACGAACUUGAUAUUCAAAUUCUGUUUAGUCUUCGUUUUGGUUGCAAAGCGGGAAAUUUAGGGAUUAACAAUAUUGAGAUUGUUAUCCCACAUCCAAUAUGCUAAAAAUAUUUUAGUUUCAAUAGGAGUAUCAUAAUAAAUUUGGAAAUAAGGAUUUGAAUUUUAUUACUUGUUGGCUUGUAACUGUUUCAUAACUUCAAGACAAAAAAAAAAAUUAAUGCUUUAUUAUUUUUAAACUUUAUAUAGAAAUAUAUAUGUUCACAUUGUAAAUUUAUUUGGUACUGUUUUGAUUUAUUUUGAUGACCUAAUAAGUAAUAAUUGUAACGAAAUAUUUAAAAGAUAAAUUAAAAAAUUGAAAGUUACUUAGUGGGACCACUAAGUUUGAAAAUUGGGUCCCACAAACACUUAUUAUAUUUGACUAAAAAGAGUCAACAAAACCAAGUUAUUAUUGGGAAAAGCAGCUAAUUAAAAAUCUCUUUUAGCUGCUAUAUAAACACCUUUCCCUAGAAUCCACAAACGAAUGUUAGGCCACAAAAACAGUAUUCUAGGGUAAAGGUGGGUGUUAGUUUCUUUGGUGAUAGUCUCGAGAAACAUAAAGAAAUUAUAUAAAAAUGAAAAACUAAACGGUAAAAAUCUUUUUAAAAAAUCAAAAAAUUGAUUUCUUGAAGUUGAUGCCUUUUUAGUCAGUAGAGCCAGGUCUUCUCUCAUAAAAUACUUGUACUACAUAUAAUAUACAUUACUCUAAAGCUGCAAAAAUACAGUUUGAAUUAGUGUUAUUAAAAUAAUGUAAAAGCUUUUUUAAAAAUCUAUAAGAAAAAAUUAUAAGGGGUUGUUUGGUAGGACAUAUAAGGGGAAAUUUUAUUUAUAUAUAUAUAUAUAUAUAUAUAUAUAUAUAUAUAUAUACUAUAAUAUUUUAAUGGUUUCAAUUAUGUAAAUAUAUUUUCUUUUUAAUCGGUGCAAAGAAGAAUAAUUUCUUUCUAUAUAUGUGUCCCAUUUUACAUCAUAAAUUUCAAAGUCUUUUUAAUUUUUUGUUAAAUUAUGUACCCAAUCAAAUAUGUUCAAUUUAAUAUAUAUAUAUAUAUAUAUAUAUAUAUAUAUUAUGUAGUAUUCGCAUAUACAACAAAUCAUGACAUUAGCAAUACAUUAGGUUUUAAUAUACGAAAAAAAACCAAAACAAAAUUGUUGUUACAAAACCUUUAGUAAUACACACAAUCAAACAAGUCGAUAAGAAAUAAUUUCAGUAUAACUAAUUUUAAUAUUACUAAUAUGUCUUACUCAAUUAUUCUUAUAGUAUAUACUAUAUAAAGUCAUACUUUCUAAGGUUUAUUGAUGGCACUGAUAUGCUACUUCCUCCAGUUCAAAAUAAAUAAUUUUUUGAAUGUUUUCACACAAAUUAAGAGAUUCAUCUUUUAACAUUAAUUAGUAAUGGAAUUGACCAUAUUAAUUUUUACUAUCUCACAUAAAACUCCUAACACAUAUUCCAAAAACAAUAUAGGAAAAAAAUUAUUAAUUCAUUUUUUGAAAUCUAAAAAAAUUACUUAUUUUGGGCUAAAAAAAAUGCCAAAAAAUUAUUUAUUUUUAGAUCGGAGGGAGUAUUUUUUUUAUCGUCUUCUUUUCGUCUUAAUCAAUUGAGGGACUAUCAAAAACUUAAAAUAAGAAAAAUGAGCCUCUUAUUGUAUUAUACUAUUAAGUACUAUGCAAAUGAGCCUCCCUUAUUGAAUCUGCAAUCUGCAUCAGCAUCAGCAUCUAGGAAGGAUAGAAAGGACAAUUUGUAAUUAAUGAAAUGUUAAAUAAAGGAAAGAAAAUAAGACAGAGAUUGCUUGUGCAAAUCUAGAUAUACUGGGAAUUGGACUUUUGAGGCAAGCAAGGUAUGAAGUGAAAAUGUGGGUUUCCUCUCACUUGCUUUUAUUUCUUAUUUUGCUUUGGGAAAUUGACCCAAGGGUGUUUUCUUGGCGGUGAAAAGUAAAGGUUAAGUGGCAACAUUUACCCUCUUUGACAAAUUUUGUGGGUGGGAGGAUGUAAUAAAUAGCGAUAAAUCGAAAUAUGAGUUUGUGCGAAUCCAAUAAUAUUUAUCUAGAUUUUUGUAUAUACAUCAAUAAAAUAUAUUAAUUAAAUAUUAUUAUAGGAAUUCAUAAAUUUUAAAAUUCUGAAACUGCAUUUGACAUAUAUAGAUUUAGAGCGAGUUUUGCAAGUUCAAGUGAAGGUGAUCGUCAGUUAAACUCUAAUAUACGUAUCCAUCCAUACAUAAAUACAUACAUAAUAGGAAACAUUUUGUUAUUCGCUUAAAUUUUGAUAAAUAAAACGACUCGAUACCCGCCUAGGAUCUUUUGUAAGAGAUUACAUAAACUAAUUGCGCGCAAAUUAGCUCGAAGCCUAAGGGGUCGUUCGAUUGGAAUAUAAUUUAUACUCGCAUAAGUUAUAUUGGGAUAAGUUAUAUCAUGAUUGUUGCUUCUUCACUGUUUUAUAUGUUGUAUUAAGAAUGACAGUUGCAUAAUUUCUAAGAAGAAGGUAUAAGUUAUAUCGAUGUUAAUUACUCCACCCUAUAUAAGGUAUAAGUUAUCCCGGUGUUAAAGUUAACAUCGAGAUAACUUAUACCUGAUUUGCUAACCAAAUAGAGAAUUAAGGUUGUAUUAAAUUUUUAUACCACCCAUAUACAUUCUUAUGCUUCAUACUAAAUGAACCCUAAAAGUGUUAAAUAUCCAAUCUUAUGUAGCUCAUGAACGUAGAGCUCGUUUGGUGGGGAAAUAAGUUAUCCAAGAUUAAUUAUUCCGAAAUUGUUAUCCCACCUUUUUAUAAAGAUAAAAAUAAUACUAUAAUUCCGAAAUAAUUAAUUUCGAUUAGUCAUAAUAUAAUUUUAUCCUAAUUAAAAUAUAAAAUAAAUUUAUUUUAUAAAUUUUAUUCCAAAAUUAGCUAACCUUUAUUUCUUGUACCAAACGAGCCCUGAACAUGGGGUUUAGGAGAUGGGGUUUUAGUGGCAAUCAAUGUCAAGCCCAUGCCCCAAAAAAAAACCGUACACACACAAACACUAUUUUUCAUGUAUCAUUUACUUGGCUUCAUUAUGUUGCUUAAGACAAACGUUCACUGUGUUGGGACUAGACAUAUACAAACACACAAACACACACAAUGCAAAACAUUUCUAUUUUCUGAUUAGGCUCCUUAAGCUUCUUUCUCUUCUUCUUUUGCCCCCUUUUCUUCCUGCCCCAAAUUCCUUAUAGACUUCAGUUGUGCAUUACAACUACUGAAAGACAUUUUUACUUCUGAUUUUUAAGGUUAGGACAAUAUUUCUCAUCAAAAUAAAGUCCCCCAUUUGAAAAACCAUCAAAGGAGAGAAGUAAACAAGGAGAAAAAAAUACUUAUGAAAGGGUACCGUGAUUGGUAAGGACUUCUUCAUCUUUAACAAGAUGUCUCGAAUUUAAUAUCUUAAAAUAAAGUCCUCUUUGAUUGGGAGCGGUUAAACUCUAAUAGUGGAUUUUUUACCAUGCGAAUCUGAAUUAGUUGAGCCCUUAAGUUUCAAGACAGUAUUUAUGGUACCAUCUCACCAUUUCAAGGCCCAAGUUUCUACUUUUCUUGGUUUAACUUUCAACAUUAUUAAUCCUCUCGAGCCGAGUCUUUCGAAACAGCCACUCUAUAUCACGAUAGGGGUAAGAUUUGUCUACAUAUUGUUCUCCUAAACUAGAUUUGACUGAGUUUGUUGUUGUCGUUGGUUUAACCUUCAACAUUCAUUUGACUCAAAAUGCACCAAAAAAGACAAAAUGAAAGACCCAUUUAAGUUUCUUGAAGAUGGGGAGCUUAAAAAAUCUCAUCUUUUUUUCUUGUCCUAAUACUAUGUAGGACUUUAUUCUGGUGCUGGAAGCUUAAGAAAAAACGAGUGGGGAAAAUUAUCAAACACCUUGUGUGCAAUGCAGGUUCCAGUGGAUUUUGGUACUGUAGAUUUCAAGAAAAUGUUAUUACUUCAACUGCAAAUGCAAAUGCAGACAGUAGGUUUUAUUUCCGGCUACUUUAUGGGUUCAAAAUUUCAACUUUUUCUGCUUGAAAUGGAUUUCUCCAAUUGUUGUUCCAUUUGUUCAUGAUUCCCGGCGGUUGACGGCGGCUCACGGUGGUGGCGGCGGCGAAGGGGGGUGGUUUGUGGUGGUGAUAUUGGCGGGGACGGCUCAAUCUUUCUCUUAAUGGUACCUUUUUGUAUAUAAUUUUGAUCUUGAUUUUAACUUUAAUUUUUCUACAUCGCCUUUUGGUUUUUAUUGUUAUUGUAGAAAAUUUGGAAUUUUAACUAUAUUAUCUUUUUGGCCCAUUUUCAAGAAGAAAAAAAUUAGAAUUAAAUUGGAUUAUGCAGCAUUAGCAAUUUAUUCAUUUUGUUUGUUUUCUAUGCAUAAAAAGGGAAUUAAAAACAUCAAAUUUAUGCUAAAUAGUUAUUGUUUUCCCCUUUUGUUUCUAUUUCAAUUUUUGUCUUCUUUUUCUUUUUUCAACUUUAAUUUUCUACAUUGCCUUUUGGUUUUAAUUAUUGUUGUAGAAAAUUUGGAGUUAAUUACAUUAUCUUUUGGCCCAUUUUCAAGAAGGAAAAAAAUUACAAUUAAAUUGGAUUAUGCAGCAUCAGCUAUAUAUUCACUUUGUUUUAUAUGCAUUAAAAAUGGAAUUAAAAACAUCAAUUUUAUGCUAAAUAGUUAUUGUUUUCCUCUUUCAUUUUUAUUUCAAAUUUUGUCUUCUUUUUCUAUUUUUUGAAAUUUGGAUCUUGAUUGUGGGGUUGUUGAACAGAGAGAUGGUGACACAACAAAAGCUAGUAGGUGAAAUUACUAGGUUUACACUUGCUAGUAGGGGUGUAUACAGGCCGGGUUCAUUCGGAUUCUACAGUUAUCAAACCAACAUAUGUUAACUUUUUAUUUAAUAGAGGUUGUUUGGUUAUAAUACAGGUUUAUGUCGGAGUAAGUUAUGUUGGGAUUAAUUAUGCUGGGAUUAUUUUUUAUUCAUUAUUUGGUAUGUUGUAUUAAAUAUGAUAAUUGCAUAAUUUGUAAGAAGAA
rnacentral:lncRNA from 1 species